GAUGAAGAACGCAGCGAAAUGCGAUAAGUAAUGCGAAUUGCAGAUUUCAGUGAGUCAUCGAAUCUUUGAACGCACAUUGCGCCCGCCAGUAUUCUGGCGGGCAUGCCUGUUCGAGCGUCAUUUCAACCAUCAAGCCCCCGGGCUUGCGUUGGGGCCCUGCGGCUGCCGCAGGCCCCGAAAAGCAGUGGCGGGCUCGCUGUCACACCGAGCGCAGUAGCGAUUCUCGCUCCGGGCGUCGGCGGCGGGCACCGGCCGUGAAAACCCCCCACAUCCACAAGGUUGACCUCGGAUCAGGUAGGAAUACCCGCUGAACUUAAGCAUAUCAAUAAGCGGAGGA
rnacentral:misc_RNA from 1 species